GCCUAAUCGAGAGGAUAGGUGGAGCGAUUAGAAGUGAGAAUGCCGGUAUGAGUAGCGAAAGAUAGGUGAGAAUCCUAUCCGCCGAAAGACUAAGGUUUCCUGGGGCAGGCUCGUCCGCCCAGGGUAAGUCGGGACCUAAGGUAAGGCCGAGAGGCGUAGCCGAUGGACAACAGGUUGAGAUUCCUGUACUAAUAUUAAUCGUUAAGAGCAAUGGAGGGACGCAGUAGGCUAAUGGCGCAUGUAACUGGAAUCAUGUGUAAG
rnacentral:rRNA from 1 species